UAACAUUGCUUUUACCAGGCCUUUUGCCUGAAUCAGGAGAGAAUUAUGCACAAAACAAGCACUGUUUACAAUCAUGAACAGUCUAUAACAGUUCUUAACAAAUAUGUUGGUGGGUUUUGAAGUGAGAGGGGAUGGAACAGGGGAUGGACUUUUUCACUAGAGGAAGUGUUAUUAUGUAAAGGGAAUUUGUAUUUUGGCCAAACAAUUUAUGACAAUUUUAUGAUGCAUUUGUUUCUUACAAACACACAGCUUUUUACUUCACAAGUGGUGAGUGAAGUGCACAAGCCACAGGAACUAUUCUCAUUAAAUAAUAAUAAAUAAAAAAACAGUGUAAUCCAACACACACAUUCAAAAUCUCCACAAACACACAGUCAUUCUUUUUCUCUCUCACUCACUCUCUCACACACUAAGACCUGGACUUUAAAUGAAGGAUGGGAACGUGAUACUGACACAGAGCAAAACUCAUUUGAGAAGAUUCACUGUGUCCACUCAAAUAAAUGUGACCAAGCGCUUCAACAACAUCCUGUAAUUAUCACACACACACACACUCACCUACAGAUCAGAUUUCUAUGUCUCCCUUUCAUUAAGGGAAGAGUGUGUAGAUGAGUUGGAGAUGCACUGAUACGCACACAGAAAUGGAGAGAGGGAGGGGAGAGAAAGACGAGAGAGAGAGAGAGCGAUUCUUACUUUUGGCAGACAGAACAGUGAUGGCAGCGAUCUGGUUUUAUCAAUUGGCAGUGAUGACAGAACCUGAUAGCUGAGAUGAACACACACACAAACAAACAAAUAAAUAAAUAACAUUUUCUCCAACAUUUAGGUAAAUGGAAUCCCACUUUAAUAACAGACGGUUACAUGUCUUCGUUCAUCAUAGAAUCUCUUAUAUUAAAAGAUAGUUUAAGAUUAGUUAACAGAAACUUAUGUCUCAACAUAUAAGUGAUUUAAAGUCACUAUAAAUCAUGUCUUGAUUUAUGAAAUGGCUUUAAAAAUGAUAAAUGAAUCA